CCUCAAACAAAUCUUUUUCAUGAAUUCAUUUCAAGAAGAAACCUUACUAGAUAAAAGUUUGAUGAAAGAAAACGCAGAAGAGGGCAGGGAGGAGGGCCAUGAGCCAAGACCUCUUUCUGAUCCAGAUGAACCUGGAGGACUGAAGGACGGCGCUACAGACCGUCAUGCAGCGCCCAAUUUACUGCAGGAAUCUGAUCCACAAACACAGCCAUCUCCCAUUUCUCCCUGCCCUCCAUCUCCUGCUAAAGCUGAACAUUUGAAACAACAAUGUUCCUAUCCUACACCACCGGAGGCAGGUCCAUCAUCAGUAGUUGAUUCAUCAUCACAAAAGACGAAGGAAAACGGCAAAAACAACGCAGAGGCAAUGUGGAAGUUUAUCAUUAUUAAUUAUUAUUAUAAUAAUAAUAAUAAUAAUUAUUAUUAUUAUAAUAAUAAU